GUGAGGAAUUUUCCGCAAUGGGCGAAAGCCUGACGGAGCAAUGCCGCGUGAAGGAUGAAGGCCUAUGGGUUGUAAACUUCUUUUCUCAGAAAAGAAUUAUGACGGUAUCUGAGGAAUAAGCAUCGGCUAACUCUGUGCCAGCAGCCGCGGUAAGACAGAGGCUGCAAGCGUUAUCCGGAAUGAUUGGGCGUAAAGCGUCUGUAGGUUGUUUAAAAAGUAUUCUGUCAAAGAUUAGGGCUUAACCCUAGAUAGGCAGAAUAAACUUUUAAGCUAGAGUUUGGUAGAGGCAGAGGGAAUUCCCGGUGGAGCGGUGAAAUGCGUAGAUAUCGGGAGGAACACCAAAGGCGAAGGCACUCUGCUGGGCCAAUACUAACACUGAGAGACGAAAGCGAGGGGAGCAAAUGGGAUUAGAUACCCGAGUAGUCC
rnacentral:rRNA from 1 species